GGGUCGCUAGCUCAAUUGGCAGAGCUGCGGACUUUUAAUCCGUAGGUUGUGGGUUCGAGUCCCACGCGACCCACCA
rnacentral:tRNA from 1 species